UUCAAUUUCAGUAGCCUAUUGUUGCUAGCUCGUCAUACAUAGGAGGUGAUGCAGCAUUCUUAUCAUAAGCAGUCCUUCUCUCGAAUUCUUGUAUUGCCAUGCCUUUGAUGCUAACAGAAUCUUCAAAGUUUCCUGAUGUAUUUCUGUCAGAAAAAUAGGGUAAACAUUCUUCAGACUUCGCAUCUGCAACAAGAUAAGAGAUGUACAGUUUUCUCCUAAAACCUUUCAUCCUCUUCGUUCUCCUUGGUCCAUCCUCUUCGAUUUUUCAAGCAUCCGAAUUGGGGAUUAGGUAUUUACACAAGUGAUUUGAUCUUUACACUGGCGAUUGGUAUCUAAAUUUGAGUUUAGAAAAAUGAGCAAUUGGCGUUCUGAAUUGUGAGAAGAACAAGGAGCCACAAAGGAAACUUUCCUUGGACACUGAGGUUGCAGCAACGUUACAGGUUUAUAUAUAGUCACAUCUUAUGGACAUGAACCGAUGUUCAUGUUAGCCAACCCCAAUUAUUUUGAGACUAAGGCUUAGAAGAGGAAAAAGGAGCUUUGCCUUGGCUACAUAGUUAAGCUAUCUCCAUUAUGUAUCCUCCUGUUGGUGUUUUUAGGUACUCUCUAUCUGACUUCCUUUGCGUUUCCCCCUUUGAUGCCCAUAUUUUCAUUCUACCCUUCCCCUUUCUUCUUACAUACAUGUAAUGACCUGAGUUGUUGAAUGGGCAGCCUGAUUUCACCCGAUUCCACCCCUAUCUUUUUCCAUUUUUAAACCCAUUCUCAUAGAAAGAGUUUCAGCCACGACAUUUUCUUCUAUUCUUUCCUCAAACCUUGAAAUUUUGUACCUUUGGCAGAUUUUUGAACUUAAUGAUGACGAGGACCUUCCGCUGGUGCUUGAUAAUGAAGUGCUAUGAAAAAUGAUUACUGACUAGGCACAACUUUAGCCCUUAUCUUGAUUUUAAAAUUCUCCAUCGUACUUAUUAAUGUAAAAUAAUUGAUCCAAGCACAAAAUACAUUACUACUGUCAUUUCUUGUCUUAGCAGUCCUGCAAAACCUUUGAGUAAGCAUUUGUUGGGUAUAAUACACUACAAUAUUAAAUAAACUAAACAAUCUUUUUGAUUGUCUUAACCUGUAGGUUUAUAGCAGGGUAAACCAAAUAUGUAAAGAAUUUGAUUGACAUUAAAAUAAAGUAGAGGACAUGAUUUUUUCUAUGUUCCAAACAAAAAUUAACAAGAAUCUUUAGGAAAGAGGAUUACUUAAACAGAGCUCUUAACUGAGUUAACUAUGCGGCACUCAAGUUAAAAAAUGUAAACGCCAGGGCACCAAAUGAAAAAUAGUGAAAAUACAGGCAGUCGGGCACCAAAGUGAAAGAUUGCAAAACCUCGGGGUAUCAAAGUGGAAAGUUUAAGAUUCUCCCCUAAGGCUCUAGUUUCUAGGAAACCAAUAGGCCUUGAUCAACCAAAGAGUUUUCACCUUGCAUGAACCCCUUCAACUCCCUGCAACUCAUUUACAUUUAUAUGCCCUGUAAUAAUACCUUUUAAUCAUCUCCUAAAAAUCACUUCCUGGAAACAGAAGGCCUGCAACAUUUUCUCUAAAAAAUGGUACAAUAAAAUUGCUAAAUCAGCUAGAAAUCCCACCAAAAUAAACAACAACGAUCAAAUCCUUUGUAUCUACUGAUAAUGCAUAGGCUGAACAAAUCCCGUUCAUCCACUGAUAAUGCAUGAUAGUUUUAAAUUUCCAGUUUACAUUACACAUUAAUAGAAGGUUUGUUGUUGGUUAAUCCAGGCAGGUAGUGAUUUUCAACACCUCAUGAGUUUAGGAAAAUUCACUAUGUCUUGUAGUAUGCUAAU